UAGGGAAUAUUGGACAAUGGGUGAGAGCCUGAUCCAGCCAUGCCGCGUGCAGGAAGAAGGCGUUAUGCGUUAUAAACUGCUUUUGCCAGGGGAUAAAAAGACCGUGCGCGGUUAAUUGAAGGUACCUGGUGAAUAAGCCACGGCUAACUACGUGCCAGCAGCCGCGGUAAUACGUAGGUGGCAAGCGUUGUCCGGAUUUAUUGGGUUUAAAGGGUGCGUAGGUGGCCCUGUAAGUCAGUGGUGAAAUAUCUCAGCUUAACUGAGAGGGUGCCAUUGAUACUGCAGGGCUUGAGUACAGAUGAGGUAGGCGGAAUUGACGGUGUAGCGGUGAAAUGCAUAGAUAUCGUCAAGAACACCGAUAGCGAAGGCAGCUUACCAAGCUGUAACUGACACUGAGGCACGAAAGUGUGGGGAUCAAACAGGAUUAGAUACCCCAGUAGUCCCUGAGCGGGCUGGCAAGGCGCAU
rnacentral:rRNA from 1 species